AUGGUUGUGCUCAGUUGGUGUGGGGAGACGGGAGAAGAAAAGUCAACUUCCAAUACUACUAUAGCCCAAGAGUACACUGGACCACACUAUUCUUUUGGAAGCUUGGAUGCAUGUGUAUAUUCCUUGGCUGGAGAACCUACACCAACAGAUGAUCAUCCAACAGCUGGAUAUUUUCUAAUGUCAUGGUCCAUAGAAAAAAAAAUUAUCUGCUCGGUUCAGGAAAGGGAAAGGUCUGAAAAGUCAAUGAUGUUUCUGUCCUUGCUACUCUCAUCCUCCAAUUGUGCCACAAACCAAGGUAAUCUUAUAUGA
rnacentral:rRNA from 1 species